GUAGCCCAGCUACUUGUUUACACCCUUGUUUUUUUGCGUACCUAUCGUUUCCUYGGCGGGCUUGCCUGCCGGUUGGACAACUUUAUAACCUUUUUUAAAUCUUCAAUCAGCGUCUGAACAAUAUACAAUAAUUACAACUUUCAACAACGGAUCUCUUGGUUCUGGCAUCGAUGAAGAACGCAGCGAAAUGCGAUAAGUAGUGUGAAUUGCAGAAUUCAGUGAAUCAUCGAAUCUUUGAACGCACAUUGCGCCCCUUGGUAUUCCAUGGGGCAUGCCUGUUCGAGCGUCAUUUGUACCUUCAAGCUUUGCUUGGKGUUGGGUGCUUGUCUUUUUGUUAAGACUCACCUCAAAGUCAUUGGCAGCCAGUGUUUUGGUAGUAAGCGCAGCACAUUUUGCGUCUUGGUCCCUCAACAGCGGCAUCCAUCAAGCCAUYUUCUCACUU
rnacentral:rRNA from 1 species